CACACGACUCUCGGCAACGGAUAUCUCGGCUCUCGCAUCGAUGAAGAACGUAGCGAAAUGCGAUACCUGGUGUGAAUUGCAGAAUCCCGCGAACCAUCGAGUCUUUGAACGCAAGUUGCGCCCGAGACCAUUCGGUCGAGGGCACGCCUGCCUGGGCGUCACGC
rnacentral:rRNA from 1 species